AAAUAUUUUUAAAAAUUCUAUUACAAUAAUUUUAAAUCACAAUACUAAGUCCAUAACUUAGGUCCAUAAUACCAGGAGAUGAAAACUUAAAUCACUCUUCCUCUUCCUCUCUAGCCGCCUCUUUCUCUUUCUUUCCGAGAACUACUACACAGAGGGGGGUUGGAUGACAUUUUUCGGGAGAGUGGCGGGUCCGGCAGCGAAAUUGAAGACCCGAUCUGAUGAGGUGGUAGGGGGUGUUUGGAGGGGAGUGGUAGUUGUGGAGGCGGCGGCUGAGCAGGAAAUA
rnacentral:misc_RNA from 1 species